rnacentral:misc_RNA from 1 species
UGAUGAAAAAGAGUCUGCAGUUGGUAAUCAUUGCUUUUGAAAUACACCUUAUGUUGGUUAUUUCAGUUUCUGAAGCGUAUUGUUCUUGAAAAUGGACAUUUUUAUAUGCAUAUAGACCAUGUUUUAUUGCUUUUGGUACCAUCCCAUUCAUUUUGUAGGUCAUUACUCCAUAUGCAUAAUUUUUUUUGAUUUAUUUAUUCACUUUUUUCUGUUUACAUUCUUUUUAUGAUUAUAUUUGUUCAUCUUAGUUUGAAAUUGUGGUAUAGAUAGAUAUGUACUGCUCAACCAAAGAACUGUUUUAUGCUUAUUUUCACUAAUUAAUGUUUCUUUAGAAUGGCAACAACCAACAUUUACCAAUUAACACCCACUCAAAUCAGAUCUUUUAUUUUGGAAUUUGACCCCAUAAACACUAUAGGUAGGGUGUUAAUGUGAUAGCUGCAGGAACACUAUCAGGUUUUGCAACCUCCAAUGUGAGUGGAGAUUGUGAUUUCACAUAGAUGCAACAAUAAAAUGCUUUCCACCCUAUCAAAAGUUGAUAUGCAUUUAUGCACGCAAUUUGGAUAGAUAACAUUCGUAUAAGCUGUUGGUUGGGAAUUGGCAUGUUAUGGGGACAUCAAUAGUAUCUGUUUUAAUGCAGACUUGAAACAUGCAAUCAGGAGUAUAGCCUGAUAUAGAAUUAAAUAGAAAUAAUUCAGGAGAACUGCAAAAAAUUGGGCCACAAUUGGUAUACAUAUCAUGUGUGUUUAUUGAGCUCAUCUAUUUCAUGCAAGCUACAGUUACUUUUUCCUUUUGGGAGCAUUACUCGAGUAUUUUAUGGGACAUUGGAUCUUAUACCUAGCUUCUACGUGGUGAACUAGAGUCUGAUUCCAUAGGCUACAUAUUUAUUACCAUGUCUGUUACAAAAGUUCAAUUUCCCAUGUUUAACUUCUUUAAAUGUCAUAAUCCAUCUUGUUCUUUUGUAUUCCAGAAGCAGAAGUCCUUUCAGCUCCUCCAAAGUUGGUGUAUAGCAGAUUACUUUUGCGUUUCACGAGGAAACUCCUAUUAGCAGUUGUGGAUAAGUGGGACAGCCAUGUGCUUACCAUAGACAAGGUUGCCCCACCUAAAUGGAAGGUUUGAAUGCUUGAUCUUUUAUUGUAUGAAUUCCUUAUUUUCAAGUUUGUUUAGCAUUUUCUUGUUGUUGAGUUAUAUGUAUUAUUUCUUUUUAGCCUAAUGAAAUUUGAAAUAUACACAAUACGCUUAUGUUUUUGCUCUUCUGCUUCUUAAAUGUGUUGUGUUUUGAGAUUAUGGUUUCUUGUAUAAUUAAACAACUUCCACGCUGGAUCAAGUGUCCAAAGAUGAAGAUGAAUAUUGUAUUAUGUUGGUCAGAAAUAGAGUAGGAUUAAAAUCAAAUUUAAUUGUACUACGGUUUUAUGUUUAACUGGAUCCCUAAAAUUGUAAUUAUUGUAUUUGAAUUUGAACAACAAAACCAACAGACCAGCCCUUGUGCAUUCGAAACAUAUCUUGCCAAAUUCUUUGAGGUUGAACUUGGAUAGAGAAUUUAAAAUUUAAGAUUGAGUUUUUGUUUUUAAUUCAAAACUUCAAAUAUUGCAAGUAUUUGAACUUAUAAGGAAGGAGAAAACAAAGGCUUCAACUAUAGACUUUUAUGAAAUUACACCCUUUAAAUAAUUUUUCGUGCACACACAUGAAUCUACCCAGCCAAAGAACACUUAUUCAUUUAACUAUCAUUUGAUUUAACCUAUGCUGUGAAGUCCAAAUCAUUUCAUUCUAUAUUGCUAUGCAUCAAAAUGCAACCUGAAUGAAUGUGGAUUUUUAUUGAAGUAUGUUGAUUACUGUGUAUAAAGCUAAAUGUUGAGUUAUUUUUGUCUUUUGAUAUUUAGUGGUAUGUGACUGUGGUUUAAAUUUUAUAUGUGCAACUGCACUCCACUUGCUUUGUAUUGUUUACCUAAUUGGUCAGAAAGUUCCACAAAGGACAGUAAUACUGUCAAAGGUUAGAGAUACGGCAAACUAAAUUAUAUCUUGCGUGGCCAAUCUUAGAAUGUUGGGUGUCAACUAAGAGCAUUGUGGAUGUAUUUGAGUUUAGAAAAUUCGAAACUUGCAGUAUUUGCAUCCAUGCAGCUUAGGCUUGAAAACAUUACAUUUUUUAAUGUUUCAUGAUUUCUUAUAUUACAGAUUUUAAUGAAAAUUUGUUAAACUUGAUUAUUACCCACAAACAUCUCACAAGUUCACUGUUGUUGCACAUCAGAAUAAGCCAGCUGGCAGAAUUUUAGAAUUUUGCAUCCUCCAUUUGGCAAUGUCUGAGAUUGUUGUUCUUGGAACACGGCACCAGAUUGUCAUUAAUGAGGCAAUUGAUCUUGCUAAACGGUUCUGUGACGGGGCAGCACCGCGCAUAAUCAAUGGGUGUCUUAGGACUUUUGUGAAGGAUUUUUCAGGAAGCAGUGUGGCUCAGGCUUCAGAUGCUAAUCA